rnacentral:rRNA from 1 species
UAAGGAAUAUUGCACAAUGGGCGAAAGCCUGAUGCAGCAACGCCGCGUGAGUGAUGAAGGCCUUCGGGUUGUAAAGCUCUGUCUUCUGGGACGAUAAUGACGGUACCAGAGGAGGAAGCCACGGCUAACUACGUGCCAGCAGCCGCGGUAAUACGUAGGUGGCAAGCGUUGUCCGGAUUUACUGGGCGUAAAGGAUGCGUAGGCGGAUACUUAAGUCAGAUGUGAAAAUCCCGGGCUUAACUUGGGAACUGCAUUUGAAACUGGGUAUCUAGAGUGCGGGAGAGGAAAGUGGAAUCCCUAGUGUAGCGGUGAAAUGCGUAGAGAUUAGGAAGAACACCAGUGGCGAAGGCGACUUUCUGGACCGUAACUGACGCUGAGGCAUGAAAGCGUGGGGAGCAAACA